rnacentral:tRNA from 1 species
AAGAAAGUGACAGAGUGGUGACGUGGCUGGCUUGAAACUAGCAUACGGGGGUUCGAUUCCUCCCUUUCUCG